rnacentral:rRNA from 1 species
CGCUGGCGGCAGGCCUAACACAUGCAAGUCGAGCGGCAGCGGGAAAGUAGCUUGCUACUUUUGCCGGCGAGCGGCGGACGGGUGAGUAAUGCCUGGGGAUCUGCCCAGUCGAGGGGGAUAACUACUGGAAACGGUAGCUAAUACCGCAUACGCCCUACGGGGGAAAGCAGGGGACCUUCGGGCCUUGCGCGAUUGGAUGAACCCAGGUGGGAUUAGCUAGUUGGUGAGGUAAUGGCUCACCAAGGCGACGAUCCCUAGCUGGUCUGAGAGGAUGAUCAGCCACACUGGAACUGAGACACGGUCCAGACUCCUACGGGAGGCAGCAGUGGGGAAUAUUGCACAAUGGGGGAAACCCUGAUGCAGCCAUGCCGCGUGUGUGAAGAAGGCCUUCGGGUUGUAAAGCACUUUCAGCGAGGAGGAAAGGUUGGUAGCUAAUAACUGCCAGCUGUGACGUUACUCGCAGAAGAAGCACCGGCUAA